rnacentral:rRNA from 1 species
AUACGGAGGGUGCAAGCGUUAAUCGGAAUUACUGGGCGUAAAGCGUACGUAGGCAGCAAGUUAAGUUAGAUGUGAAAGCCCCGGGCUCAACCUGGGAACUGCAUUUAAAACUGGCUUGCUAGAGUUGAGUAGAGGGGAGUGGAAUUUCAGGUGUAUCGGUGAAAUGCGUAGAGAUCUGAAGGAACACCAGUGGCGAAGGCGACUCCCUGGACUCGAACUGACGCUGAGGUACGAAAGCGUGGGUAGCAAACGGGAUUAGAUACCCCAGUAGUCC